GCUAUUUUGUAUUCACAUUAAAAAUGAAAAGUAUUGUUGCUGUAUAGAUUACAUUCAUUCUGCAUUGCAUAGAUGGGGGGACCAUGGCUUUGAAUGCCAUAUUGCACAGAUGAUGAUGUCACCUGUGCUAUUAUUUCUCAGAAUGAAUAGAGAAUAAAGCAUACAUCACCUAGAAGCAGUUCAGGGGACCCCAAUUUAGGGCAGAACUGAGACAUAAAUUUUUGACUGCUGUCUGAGAUUAAUGAGAGUUACGGUCUUUGGUAGUGGCUAUUUUAGGUUCCGUGAUUAAAAUGACAGCAGAUGCCACUAUGGAAUACAACUCCUACUAAUAUAGGGCAGCCCGGUACAUGUAUGUCUUGGAUCUACCUAAGAUUAGGGCCUCGAUGCAUUAGUUCCUAUGGUGAAUAAUUGCAUGCAUGAUGUCAAAAUCUGUGCAUGAUGGUGUUUGAAGAUUUGAUCUACC